rnacentral:rRNA from 1 species
AUGAACGCUGGCGGCGUGCCUAAUACAUGCAAGUCGAGCGAACAGACGAGGAGCUUGCUCCUCUGACGUUAGCGGCGGACGGGUGAGUAACACGGGGAUAACCUACCUAUAAGACUGGGAUAACUUCGGGAAACCGGAGCUAAUACCGGAUAAUAUAUUGAACCGCAUGGUUCAAUAGUGAAAGACGGUUUUGCUGUCACUUAUAGAUGGAUCCGCGCCGCAUUAGCUAGUUGGUAAGGUAACGGCUUACCAAGGCAACGAUGCGUAGCCGACCUGAGAGGGUGAUCGGCCACACUGGAACUGAGACACGGUCCAGACUCCUACGGGAGGCAGCAGUAGGGAAUCUUCCGCAAUGGGCGAAAGCCUGACGGAGCAACGCCGCGUGAGUGAUGAAGGUCUUCGGAUCGUAAAACUCUGUUAUUAGGGAAGAACAAAUGUGUAAGUAACUAUGCACGUCUUGACGGUACCUAAUCAGAAAGCCACGGCUAACUACGUG